rnacentral:rRNA from 1 species
ACCUACGGGGGGCAGCAGUAGGGAAUCUUCCACAAUGGGCGAAAGCCUGAUGGAGCAACGCCGCGCGGGUGAAGAAGGUCUUCGGAUCGUAAAACCCUGUUGUUAGAGAAGAAAGUGCGUGAGAGUAACUGUUCACGUUUCGACGGUAUCUAACCAGAAAGCCACGGCUAACUACGUGCCAGCAGCCGCGGUAAUACGUAGGUGGCAAGCGUUAUCCGGAUUUAUUGGGCGUAAAGGGAACGCAGGCGGUCUUUUAAGUCUGAUGUGAAAGCCUUCGGCUUAACCGGUGUAGUGCAUUGGAAACU